rnacentral:rRNA from 1 species
UCCUACGGGUGGCAGCAGCUAAGAAUCUUCCGCAAUGGGGGAAACCCUGACGGAGCGACGCCGCGUGAACGAGGAAGGCCGAAAGGUUGUAAAGUUCUUUUCUUGGGGAAGAAUAAGGGGAAGAGGGAAUGCUUCUCUGAUGACGGUAACCGAGGAAAAAGCCCCGGCCAAUUACGUGCCAGCAGCCGCGGUAACACGUAAGGGGCAAGCGUUGUUCGGAAUUAUUGGGCGUAAAGGGCGUGUAGGCGGUUUUGUAAGCCUGGUGUAAAAGGUGUACGCUUAACGUACAUAGGUCGCUGGGGACUGCGAGACUAGAGUUUAGGAAGGGGAGCUGGAAUUCCAGGUGUAGGGGUGAAAUCUGUAGAUAUCUGGAAGAACACCAAUGGCGAAGGCAAGCUUCUGGCCAUAGACUGACGCUGAGGCGCGAAAGCGUGGGGAGCAAACAGGAUUAGAUACCCGAGUAGUCCGC